rnacentral:rRNA from 1 species
UACGGAAGGGGCAAGCGUUGUUCGGAAUCAUUGGGCGUAAAGGGCGCGUAGGUGGUUCUGUAUGUCUGCCGUGAAAGCAUACAGCUCAACUGUAUUUUGUCGGUAGAAACUGCAGGACUUGAGGCUGGGAGGGGCUGGUGGAAUUCCCUGUGUAGCGGUGAAAUGCGUAGAGAUGGGGGAGAACACUCGUGGCGAAGGCGGCCAGCUAGACCAGUUCUGACACUGAGGCGCGACAGCGUGGGGAGCAAACAGG